CUUUCCCAGAAUGAAAGAAUGCUUGCCUAAGCAAUGCAAUGAAUUUGAAGAAAGAAAAUAUAGGAUAGCCUAUGUGGGUAACCUAUGUUGAAGUACUAAAGAGUUAAUGAAUAGCCAACUACCCCCUGAUACCUUCCUUGAUGACUCCCAACAUUUUGCUGUUAUGAUACAAAUGAUCUUGGAAAAGAAUAGAAUUCUUUCCUCUGCCAUUAUGUGUACUGAGUUCCUCAUAUUAGUCAUUAUAAGGGAUUAACAAGAUCAGGCAACUAAGGAGAUGAGCAUCUUUGGUUGAGUAGGCCAACAUGUAAAAACCAGGCCAAAUCCAACCAAGAAAUCAAAUUUGAGAAGAAAGCAAUACUGGCAUAGAAAGAUAUGCUGUCUGUCUUCGCUCUAAAACAGCUCUUUCUCUCCACUACUUUAUAGCACUCUCCCGAAAAUACAGGGACAGUGGAGUGAGGCUUGAAACAAGAGCAGACUCGUGUUGUGUAGGACGAGCAGAAGGAUGAUCAUAAAGCUAACACCAUAUUGAAAUUCAUUCAUCUUUGCAAAGGAAGAGUAGUCAGUCUUGGGCCUCCACAUCACGUUUCAGACCAAUGCAUCAUAAGAAAUAGAAGCCAGAGAAAUGGAACAAUGCCUACUGUGUGAUUCUAGUUACAUAAAAUGGGAAAGGAAUUACAUGCAGGGAAAGUCAACCUUUGAUUUUUAAUGUUAGAAUUGUGAUCAUCUCUGAAGAAACAGAGGAGAAUCUUUGGCAAGAACCAUAAAGGGGUUUCUAUAAAUAUGAAAUAGAAGCACCAGGCAUCAAGAAAACUUGGCAAGUGCUUACUUCUAGUAGCAAGUAAAAAUAUGACUCAAGGAUCAUAUGAUUUUGCUAUAGAGGGAAUUAUACUCGACAACUUCCUUUGGAGGAAAAACCACAAAGACUGCUUCUGCCUGUAGGAACAUUAGGACACCCACAGCAUCCUGCACCUGCAAGGAAUGGCUACUAUUAAUAAGUGAAUGCCUGUGGUAACCCCACUCACGGUGUGCGUGCAGGAAGACUGAAUUGUGGUUGUGAUAAGGUAAUGAUUUUGCUCACAUUGUUUCAGGUCAUGCCCUGCAUAGACUCCCUUUUGCUUCAUGGAGGCUAGCAACCCAUGGACCACAGUGUCAUCAGAUAAUUUUGCCUAGUCUGUGUUGAGGAAGGGCAGAUGGAAAUAAUAAUUAAUGCUGCAUUUACAGUCCUUAAAUGAAAUGAAGAUAGAACUGAAUAUUUAAUACAUGUCUAAAUGCAUUCGACUGAAAGCUUCAUUCCAAUAAAUUAUGUGAUCCUUGUCCACGUGUACGUCUGUGUGUGCAAGCAUUUUAACAAACUAUGAAAUUCUCAUAACAAAUAUUUCUGCUUUCCUUGCUGUUUACCUUGUUUCUCCACCUUACACACAACAGACCUGUGAACAUUUUCUCAGACUAUUACUUGAAGUGGAAAAUUAAAAUCAUAGAUUUUCUACCAUAUUGUUACCAAGGCAAUAAUAAUUUGGGUCCUAAAAACUGUCUCAGAGGAAAUGCUGGAACUAUUAAAUUGGUCAAAAACUGCCUGGAUAAUGAAGAACCUGAAUGUACUCGCUGCACUGUAAAUAUUCUGAAUCGGAGAUAUCACAUCAAAACCACACAAGCAAAAUUCUAACCUCCCUGUAAUGUAUGAACAAACCAUCUGUGUAUACAUACAUUCAUAUAAUUUUAGGUGCAUCUAUGAAUGCACAUACAGAUAUACACCACUCUGUUUCCUCAACCUCAAAGAUUUCUGUCAGAUUCCUUUUUCUCAAGCGCAUCAAAUACAAAACAACAAAAAGUCAUUUUUACAGACCUCAGGCCAGUGACCCAGGUGAAAGAGAAAUGAAACAAAGCUUCCUUCAUAGAAGAAUAAGAGCUUUAUCAUCAUUCUUGGACAAGAUUUGAGUCACUUAUAAAAAGUGAUUUAUUUUCUGAGGAAAAAAAUCCAAAUUACUCAAUAAAGAAAACAUAAUUGGAGAUCUAGAAUUUGGGGAGACAGAUCCCAGAGAUGUGGUCUUUUGAAUCAUUAUGUUUGACAUGUCUAGAUGCUUAGGCACUGUGAGUUUUUAAAAGGUAUAUAGAACUCCCAGAGGCAUCCCUUGUUUUUCAAUUGUUUUCACUGGUGAAAUAUAUCUUUUCAAACUACAUUGUAGAGGCUUUCAUAGACCCUUGUGGCAAAGAGAAUUGUUAACAACAAACUCUACGAGUACUUCUGUAGACACACCAAAUGCUCUAUUUAUCUCUACACUUUUUGCUCUAUUUACUGCCUGGAUUAUCAAAGUUGAAUAAUUAAUGGAUUUUUUUUUUUCAAAGCUCUUUACUCAUCCCCUGAUCUUCCAUUCAACAUAUUUCAAGUUUCCACUUGUUCUCUGAAGAAUAUCUACUUGUCUGCCCCUUCUGUUCCCAUGUUUCCAGAUGUGUCAGCUGUCAAUAUCUAAUCUAGUAGGAUUUACUCACGCUGAAUAGAGCAAAUUCUGAAGUGACCUCCCUGGGAUCAGAUGG